UCCACACAAAAACACAAGUGGUUUAAAAUGAUGUAGAUUGGCACAAUGAACGCUGCUAUUCAGAAAAAAAUGCUCUGCCUUGUAGGACACGAAUAAAUAAAUAAUGCAGAAGAUCUACACACGGAGGCCUCCCACAGCGAGGGUGGAAUACAUUUAUUCCAUUUGAACUGGUUACAGUAUGUCAUGGCAUUUUAGUUGUGGAUCAGCUGCCCCAUAAAGUGGACCCUGUCAUGGGGGAUGAAAAAAAAAUGGUGCCGAUGGCACAGAGUAAUCUCAUCACCUAUUGAUUGACAGGCUGCCACUAAUUGAUCUGUUCCACCAGCCGCAAUGUUAGCCUGGCUUUGUGCUCCAAUUCAAACUGCAGAAUGGUCCAGUUUGGCCCAGAUGGCCGUUAAGAAAGUCAGUCCGCCGCAGGUUUAGGAUGUGGUGACCAUGGUGGCGGAGAUAUGUCUGCUCUGUCCUCCUCUACUUCCUGUGAAUAACCCGUGGAGAAUGGCUGCAAGAUCUCCUUCCCUCUUCCCUUGACUCACACAUUCCACAGUGAGACAUCACCGCCAGAGAAGCGGAGCCACGAGACAAACAGAAUCACAUUUCUUGAUCUAUCCUCAAUCCACUUGCGUACUUUCUGUCACUGCUCAACUACCACUUCGCCCCCCCGCACCCCCGGCCCCCCUUCACCCUUCCGUCUGUCUCUUGCCAGGAAAACGAGAAGGACAAAGGUUUUUCACCCGCUCUCUCUUUUCAGAGUUUUGUUCAGCUCUUCCGUGGCAGUAAAUGUGUGACCGGGCCUUUCUCAGCAUUUCAGGAAAUUCCUCUUUCUGCCAAGGUCAUGCCUGGUAAAGACGCACAUAAAGACACACACACACACACACACACACACACACACACACACACACACACACACGCACACACUUCCCCAUACAUACACAACCGCUCAGCUGGUUCUCCACUUCCCCACUGCUGCUUGCUUUUCCUUUUUGGCAUUCAAGGCUGAUCUUUUUUAGAGAACCUGAGAACCGGUGGGAGCCAGCAGAGGAAGAAUCCUUUUCAUCCGGUCUUGGGGGGAAACGAACAGGAACCUCACAAAGCGCGACGCUGACAAAAGUGAGCGACCGCUGUCUCGGGGAAUCUAAAACUUGCUUUUUCAGCACGUGUUCGACAGAUAUUCAAGGGUUUUGCAGUUGAAAUGAUUUCUAUUAAAAUAUACAGGUAUUUUUAGGACACAAUGUCAUGUGCAGUUUCCUGAUCAAUACCCACAGAUUGAUCUCUAAAUGAUAAAUUAUUGCUUUGGCUACUGUUUUAGAGUGGCUUGUGUGAGAUGUUGUCAUCACUUCUUGUGAUACUUGAGAAAAAAAAACCCUCAGAGCCACUAUUUGAUGAGGAAUUACUAGCAUCCGAACACAUCGAUGGGAUUUCAUGCCCACGUUGACCCACCUACAAAUAAGUCGCUUCAUUUAUGCGCUUGUCCUCUUUUCAACCUGGAUACAUGCAUGUGGACGUUUGUGCACAUGCUGCAGGCUCAAGCAGGGCCGUGAGAAGAUUAGAGGUGCUUAUAGGUUUCCUACUAAAAUGCUGUCUCCCCUUUCCUCACUUGCAAGCUACUUGGUAUGAUUGUGAUUCCUUCACUCCUUUUCCUUUUUUUCAUCAUUUUCCCUUCAUUUCUACCCUAUCUUGUGAGUGUCCCGUGUCGAAUGAGCCAAUUGGUGCACAAUCCAAAUAGUUGGCAACAAACCCCGAGCAGCACGUGUUGCCUGAGCAAGCUAACAUUCAGCUGACAAUGUUUGGCGCGGUAAGCCCACAAGCCUCCUUCUUCGCUAGACAAAACAAACCUCUGUACUUCCUUUGACCGAACUAUGCUUUCGUUUUCUUGGCCUAAAUAUUCAAUGGCAUCACACUAAAUAGGAGGCAAGCCUAUCCAUCAAGGCUUCAUUUUUCAGGACCAACAAGACAGUCUUUCAUACGGAGCAUCGCUCUUUUAUAUCAGCAAAAUAUAUCCACAAGAGACUGUGGGUCAAAUACGUCACAAUAAAGUCAAGAGGGGCCGGCCGGGUCUUUGUGUGUGUCUCCCUGCCACAGGCGCACAAGCCUUGUGCUAAUGUAGGCCAAACAUCCUCUCUGCUUGACAGACUCAACACACAUUUGCCAGCCCAAGAGUAUUACACUGCCAUUGGUUCAACGCACAUUCCGCAGCCAAUUAGAAUUUCCUCCAUACCUGUAGGAGCAAUGGCAAAGUCAGGGGUAAUAACCUUUGCUUGCAUCCAAGUAGAACUAAUGAGCGUCUAAAUAACACACACACACACACCACACGUGUUGUGCAUCAUACUAUAUUUAUAAAAAGAAAUGAUAUACAUGUAUUUAACAUUUGCGCAAAAACAAGAGCCAUAAAGAAAAAAAAUUUGAGCGAGUUCAGGCUUGAAGCAUCACGGCAUCAACCCGUUGUUAUGCUGUUUAUUGCGUUGCACACACAAAGUCCGCUAACUUCUUUUCUAGGUUUGGUCAAGUGAUGUUCUAUUUGUCGCAGAUGAGUAAAGCUGGUUGAUGUACUUUGAACUAAAUUAGCGAUGGGACUGUUUCUUUAUCCAAUCAGAUUUCCAAUGUUCUCCUGUGAUUGGUUCAGAACGAAACUUGUGAAGGUCAAGUUCGACGAGCAAAACACAUCUGUAACGAUCUGCAGUUUAUUAUCGGCAUCUCCGGUGACUAUGCUGUAUAAUACUGAAAUGUUUUUGUUUUUGUCAAGUUAUGAGGUCUACAUUAAUUCGGAAGUAAUCAAGAUGAUGUACAAGUUAUAUUGUGUUUUGCUUUAGUAUUGAUGGUUUUUAAAACUGCAACAUGAUAGUGGUGGUAUUUCAAGAAGGAUUAGUCAAAAAAAGUUCCCACUGAAGGCCCAGCUACCAAAUGCACAAAACGCCACUGAUUGGAUCAAGUGAGAUUGUUCCGCUUCACGAAAAGUGCGUACCAUGGUUUCAUUUACCCAAAAAAAAAAAAAAGCAUCUUUAUUCACCUAUCUAUGCCAGCACCAUCUGGUGAAAGGCAGAACAAUGGCAUGUUUUUCUACUAGAUUGCAUAAGGUAGAUAAAUAAAUCUGUAUGCAAUUUCUGUUACAUCCUUGAUGGCGUGCAUCCUUUAUUUCUGAUGCAACAUAGGUGCAUCAACGCUUCAAUUAAGCCAAUUCUUCGGUGUGAAUGCUCGGUUUAGCAUCAGGUGACCAAGGAGUCAGGCCCUAGGCACAGAGAGACAUUUCCAUUUGAAUAGAAGCCCCUGGGAGCCCGAUGGGGUCACACCGGCUACAGUGGGAAGCCUUUGUUACAGCGGUGUCCCUGUAUCAAAGAGACUACUUUAUGUCCGACACAAGCUAGCCUCAACGUCAAAAACAACCUUAAAUUGUCGAAUUAAGCAGCCAAGAGCCCAACAAAUAAAGGAGAUAACGGACUCCACAGGUGGCUGUACUGAUGCCUGCGAUAGCUUGGAAAGAGAGAGCAUCAUAUACAUGAUUACCUGACCCCAACAACACCCAAGGUCUUUCCUGAGACGCCACCCGCUUUGUGCUUUCUUCCACUCUCAUCCAUCCAGUCUGGCGAGUGAGCUGGAGUGGUGUAGGUCAGUAGCAGCAACAGCAACCAUGCUGGGUAGUGCAGGGGGCACAACGUGGACCUGAUGCCCUUCUUGACUCCUUCUUUACCCCGUAAUCAUCUAAGAGUCAAAGUGUUACUCUAAAAAGGAUUUGCAUCUAAAAUGUGAAUGCCAAUUACGUAAGUACUCUUCCCCCAAGUUCCAAGCCAGCGAUACACCCAACCUCACGUUCUUCAACGAGGCCGGCGUCUUGGAAAACCUGUGUAGCCGUUACGUCAACAUGAGGAUCUAUGUAAGAAAAGCCCUCGUAGUAGAAACAGAGACGACAACAUUGAACGUUGAUCAACCUUGAAUUCAUCCAUUUUUCCCGUCAGCCGCAUACCUACCUCUGUUGAGGCAAGAUUUAUGUUGGCGCUUGUAUUAUUCAUGGGAAUGGCCCUUUGUGCUCGUCCCUCCUUUUAGACCGAAUAUGGCGUGUUCUGUGAGUGACUAUCAACCCAUAAUGGCUGCCCACCUAUGACCCAAAUGUACAAGCGGAAGAAAGGCAACAGAGUUCCUCCCUCUUCUCCAUCUCGCACAAUGGCACCAUGACACGAUAAAUUUUUCCACUAUAAAUGUGACCUACAUCUUGUACAACUGAAUUCUCCUUUUUUUGGGGGGGCGUGAGAUGCUGGUACCUUCUGCAGACACAGCACAGGGACACCAUUCAAAGUCACAUGUUUUUGUGGGUUGGCGACAGGAAGUGUCUGCAUGGCUCCUUCACACCACACUGACUCACUAUUGGCCGUUAAGAAACAAAGCUCUAUUACGAGAAAAGUUUGUCCAGGUGCAUAUAAUGCCUUCAAGGUUUUCUUGUUUUGGCCUCAUGCUCAGCUUAAAAUUGUAUUUUGUGUUUCGCACGUACAGCCCUCAUCCAACUCAGAUCUGGGAUGAAUUUGGACAAGAUAAGAUGAAGGGCAGCAUCAUUUAAAGUAUAUGUGAUGAUACGAUGAUUCCGCUGUUCCUGAGUGGUCAAAAUCAGUUUAUGUGAGUUCACUUCUCCCUUAAAUAUUUGUUUUUUUGUCAUACCUGAUUUAUGUAAA